GUAAACCCAAGGUUUCCAGGGGAAGGUUCGUCCGCCCUGGGUUAGUCGGGACCUAAGCUGAGGCCGAAAGGCGUAGGUGAUGGACAACAGGUGGAUAUUCCUGUACUACCGAUAACCGUUUGAGAGAAGGGAUGACACAGUAGGAUAAGCUAAGCACACUGUUGGUUAUGUGUGCCCAAGCAUUGAGGCAGUCAAAGUAGGCAAAUCCGCUUUGAUAAUG
rnacentral:rRNA from 1 species